rnacentral:rRNA from 1 species
AGCAGCCGCGGUAAUUCCAGCUCCAAUAGCGUAUAUUAAAGUUGUUGCAGUUAAAAGGCUCGUAGUUGAACCUCGGGAUCAAUGGAUCGGUCAUGCCAUCGGUAUGUACUGGUCUCAUUGGUUCUCACCUUCUAAGGAACCAUGAUGUCAUUCAGUUGAUGUUGUGGGGAAUUAGGACUGUUACUUUGAAAAAUUAGAGUGUUUAAAGCAAGCUAACGCUUGAAUACAUUAGCAUGGAAUAAUGAAAUAGGACGUUCGAUCCUAUUUUGUUGGUUUCUAGGAUUGACGUAAUGAUUAAUAGGGAUAGUUGGGGGCAUUAGUAUUCAAUUGUCAGAGGUGAAAUUCUUGGAUUUAUUGAAGACUAACUACUGCGAAAGCAUUUGCCAAGGAUGUUUUCAUUAAUCAAGAACGAAAGUUAGGGGAUCGAAGACGAUCAGAUACCGUCGUAGUCUUAACCAUAAACUAUGCCGACUAGGGAUCGGAUGAUGUUAAUUUUUAAUGA